UACAGAGGGUGCAAGCGUUGUUCGGAUUCAUUGGGCGUAAAGGGUGCGUAGGCGGCGGGGCAAGUCUGAUGUGAAAUCCCGGGGCUCAACCCCGGAACUGCAUUGGAUACUGCCUUGCUUGAGUACUGGAGAGGAGACUGGAAUUUACGGUGUAGCAGUGAAAUGCGUAGAUAUCGUAAGGAAGGCCAGUGGCGAAGGCGAGUCUCUGGACAGUUACUGACGCUGAGGCACGAAGGCCAGGGGAGCAAACGGG
rnacentral:rRNA from 1 species